rnacentral:sRNA from 12 species
AGCCUAACCCCGUAGCAAUGCGGGCAUGGCGAAAAAAGUCCAGUUAGACAUAAAGAACCCAUCAUGGGGUUGUCUAACUGGCCGUAUCGGGAAACCGGUACGAGGGGCUUCGGUCCCU